CGGCUGAAUAGAAAAAGGAGUGCGGAGCAGUUUAGUCGGCCCAUUCGAGUGGAUUUCAGGGUCAUGCAAAACCAUUCGUCAGCCACAUUUACAGGACAAUCAUUAACGCACAUUUUGUGGUACAAAACAGAUUUUCUGUUUCGACAGUCUCAUGAGAUCUCGUGGCACGACUUUGAAUGGAUGGAAAUGGAGUCAUGCAUGCCAAAUUUUAUUUCCCUAACUUGUAAAAUGAUGAAACACCACACGAAAAAUGAGUUCC